GCUGUGGUGGCUGAGUGGUUAAGGCAUUAGACCCAAAAUCCAAUGGGGUUUCUCUGCGCAGGUUCAAACCCUGCUCGCAGUG